rnacentral:lncRNA from 1 species
GCAGUGUCACCAGGACCCAUCUUUCUUUUUUGAUCUUUUGGUUGUACAUUCUCCGAUUUGCCUUAUUUUCAAACAGGCUUCUUGGUUGUGGUAGUCAUUUAGUCACUUCAAAUCCAAUGAUAAAGAGCAGAGAUAGUCCUUGCCUAAGUCUUAUUGUAUCCUAUUGGUUCCGGGUGAGUCACUAGGUUGCCAUGGCUACAUAUUACACCAUACCUUGGUCACGUGCUCCACUACUGGGGUAGGCUGGAGGCAAUUCUCCAGAACCCAGGAUUCUGUAGGAGCCCACAGGGGCACCUUCAGCUUCUCCGGCAGAUGGUGGCUUUGGUUUUACUGUCCUGGUAAGCUUUCACAUAGUGUGGGAGAAACAUGCCUAUAGGAAGAAAUCAGGCUGAGUGGGAAAAGAAGGACAGAUGCUGGGUGGGGAAAAACAUGCCCCACAUGCCUGUAUUUUAGUAGCCUGUUCAUAUUUGCAAUUCACGAUUGUUAAGAGAAUCUUCAGAUUUUUCUUCCAGAGCCAGGCCAGCAGCUCCAGAUGUGGGGGAUGAAGUUGGAAAAGUCUGGAGCAGCUGUGUCCACUUUAUAAGCACCUCAGCAACCAAUCUUUAUCAGCAUUGGAUCAGCUGGGAGCCCAAGAGACCCACCAGUCCUGGCAGCCAUUCUGAAGAGCAAAGUUCAAGAUCUAGACCCAACACGCUUCCUUCGUGACCUAGAGAAGACAGAAGGGGGCUGGGCAGAGGGAACGCUCUGACCUUGGAAGUCCCGGAGGCAGCCUCGGCGGAGGAGCAGAAGGAAAUGGAAGAUAAAGUGACUAGUCCAGAGAAAGCUGAAGAAGCAAAAUUAAAAGCAAGGUAUCCCUCACCUGGGACAAAAGCCUGGAGGUUCAGAUUUUUUAAGGAAACGAUUGCAGAAAGGGCAAAAAUAUUUUGAUUCUGGGGAUUACAACAUGCUUUCUGCAAAAGCAAAGAUGAAGAAUAAGCAACUUCCUACUGCAGCCCCGGAUAAGACAGAGGUCACUGGUGACCAUAUUCCCACUCCACAGGACCUUCCUCAACGGAAACCAUCCCUUGUUGCUAGCAAGCUGGCUGGCUGAUUAAAAGAGCUGACCUGCAUGAAUGUUCUAAUUCCCAUUAUUUUUCCUCAUAUGUUACUUAUCCACUUUUUAUUCCUUUCAUUCACUAAGUCAUUUAAAUGAGACUGACGGCUUUGCAGGUAGCGAUAGUGUGUGCUGCUGUUGUAAGGGAAUAUACAUGUGUAGAGGUUUUGAUUAGUUUUAACAGUGCACUGAUGAAAAGGACAUGUUAGAGCAACAUAAGUAAUCUACUUGAAAAUAUUUGUAUAUAUCACCUAACUCGUAAUAUAGUUCCAACAAGUAAUAAGCAAAUUUUACAAUUUUAAUGUUUUGCCUUCCUCGCUUAUCUUAAUUAUAGCUGUGUAUGUUACUCUUAUUUAAUGUAACCUCUGUAUUGAUUUCUUCUGUAUUUUCCUUCUGGAUUUUAUCAAACAGAAGUUUAAGCCACAAGUUUGAAGAAAGAUCACAAAUUCAAAUGAAAAUAGGAGGGGCUUUGAAAGAUUUGUAUAACUGAACUUGAAUGGCCUUAAACCUGUUUCAGCUUUAACAAUAGAAUUUUACUUGGGCAAGAUUUGCCCAUUCUGGUGUAACUUAUGUGACUUCAGUGCUUAACAGCUGCCAUUGAAGCUAGUAUUUUUAUUUAGU